rnacentral:rRNA from 1 species
GAUGAACGCUGGCGGCGUGCCUAACACAUGCAAGUCGAACGAAGCAUUUGGAUCUGAUCUUUUCGGAUGGAACUUAACUUAGUGGCGGACGGGUGAGUAACGCGUGGAUAACCUGCCUCACACUGGGGGAUAGCAGCUGGAAACGGCUGGUAAUACCGCAUAAGACCCCGGCACCGCAUGGUGCCGAGGUAAAAGAUUUAUCGGUGUGAGAUGGAUCCGCGUCUGAUUAGCCAGUUGGCGGGGUAACGGCCCACCAAAGCGACGAUCAGUAGCCGGCCUGAGAGGGUGAACGGCCACAUUGGGACUGAGACACGGCCCAAACUCC